AUGAACGCUAGCUACAGGCUUAACACAUGCAAGUCGAGGGGCAGCAUUGAGAUAGCUUGCUAUUCAGAUGGCGACCGGCGCACGGGUGAGUAACGCGUAUCCAACCUUCCCUAUAGUAGAGAAUAGCCCGGCGAAAGUCGGAUUAAUGCUCUAUAUGUUCUAUUGAUGGCAUCAGAGAUUGAACAAAGAAUUUCGCUAUAGGAUGGGGAUGCGUCUGAUUAGCUUGUUGGCGGGGUAACGGCCCACCAAGGCAACGAUCAGUAGGGGUUCUGAGAGGAAGGUCCCCCACAUUGGUACUGAGACACGGACCAAACUCCUACGGGAGGCAGCAGUGAGGAAUAUUGGUCAAUGGGCGCAAGCCUGAACCAGCCAAGUAGCGUGCAAGGACGACUGCCCUAUGGGUUGUAAACUGCUUUUAUAGGGGAAUAAAGUGAGGUAUGCAUACCUUUUUGUAUGUACCCUAUGAAUAAGGACCGGCUAAUUCCGUGCCAGCAGCUGC
rnacentral:rRNA from 1 species